CACACAUGCGUUAAUGAUGCAGCCUUUAAUGACGUCACCACAUACUAUUUUUUCCUGCAGGGCACGGCCUCGCUCGGCACACAGGAUGGGCCCCCAGCCCCAGGAGGGAGGCGAGGCUGCACGGUGUUGGAGGCGGCUGUCUGCAGGGCCCCCCGCUCAUCCGCUGCAGAAGCUGGGAGGCGUGCGCUGCAAAUCAGACCUGUUCCAGCAGUGCCGGUUGCCCUGGCAAAGGGAGACCCAAAUCUACUUCCCCUCUUUCUGGGUGAGCUCUAGCCACAGAGCCGCUGGAAGGAAAGCCUCCUGCCGCCCUCCUCUCCCUGCUCCGCACCCAAACCGCGGAGCUUUGUGCCACACCAGCGCGUAUUUCCUCUGCAAACUCAAUGGCCCCGCAGAGACGUGGUGGUGAAGGGAGGCAUGCACCUCAGCCGUGCACCCGAGGAGGCUCAGCCCGCGAGGCCGAAGCUCCUGGGGAGGACCUGUUUCCUCGUGCGUGCCACCCGACGUCUCCUGGCCGUUUCUCCUCAGCGGGAAGCGUAUGCCCACGCCGGGCUGUGCCAGCCUGCUCUGCCCGCAUGUCCACGGGAGCGCGCCGUGUUGUCAGCUCCCGCUGUGAACCGUGCCGGUUAGCAGGCGUUGUCACAGAUGAAUAACUGCGCUGGUUUAUAGCGAGGCCAAAGGUGAACACAGAUUGCAAUGCUUAGCCCCAAGGUUGCAAGAUGAAAAUAAAUGAGUUCAGUGCCCCGA